AAGGUGAUUGACUGAAUAGUCUCCUCUCCUUU
rnacentral:piRNA from 1 species